GUUUUGAAAAGAUUUAAAAUAAAUCUUUUUGAUAACCGGUUUAAAAGUUGUUGAGAAAGCAUAGUAAAAUCAUUUUCUCGGCAUGAUAUAUGAAAGUUGUGAGUCUAGCCCACGAGAGUCUUUGUAAGCAGGACCAACUCGUCCUCUUACUUGUUCAUAAGUUGAAAACAUUAUCAAAGUUUGUAAAUACAUGUAUUAUGAGUUUGCGUCAAAUGAAUAUCAAAAACAUUUGAAGGUUAUAGUGUUGUAAGUUGGUAUGUAAAGCGUCUAUGAACAUGUUGAUCAUUAAUGUUUCGCGAGGACAUUAAUAUAUACGACGACAUAGGAGGUACUCAACCCGCGUAGGCAAUUUUUAGUGUCGAAUCACCUCGACUGGGACACAACAGCACUCUAAGUGGUCACCCAUGGACCGUGAGUGGGGCUCGCCCGUACCCAUUAGAUCUAACCUUUGUUCCUUGGUCCUCAAAAGGAUUAAUGGCACCUCAGUUACAGCCUAUGCUCACAUGAUCUAAGAGUUCAUUCCAUAACUUAAUCAUACCUAAGUUUGACAUGUAUUUCCCCCCGAAAGUUUUGUAAACCGUAACAUUGAAAGAAAAGGGGGACAUGAUCUCACUGAGUUGUCUCGUUUUUCGUAUGCAGGCCAACCCAGUUCCGUUGUUGUAACUAGGACAUUCUCGUCACUAGUCAUGACAAUCAUGCAUGUUUGCGAAAAAAACGCGUUUGUUUUGUAAAACCGGUAUGUUUAGUAUAAACCUUUCGUAAACCUUUCGAGUUCGUUGAAAUUCAUUUGCAACAUGGUUUAUAAAGAUGUGUUUUCGUUCAUCGAAAUAGUGUUUUCUUUUGCAAAAACUUGCAUGUCUU
rnacentral:lncRNA from 1 species